UUGUUUGGAUACCACUGAGGCUGCAGCAGCGGCCACGCAUCCCUCCGCAGCCUGCUGAUUUUGCAAAAGCGGGGAAAGGGGAUCAUUUUGCAGUCCAGAUGCUGUCAAACACAAGCAACCAAUGGAAGAAAUGGCACAAUGAGCAGACAAGUAUGUGGAAGCAGUUUAUGAAGAAAUAGUUAAAUACAGGGGCUUUGUCCUGGCCGAUGCUAACUCCUGAGCUGAUGUUAAGACGUGGCUUCUAGCAGGUCUGAGGCAGAAGAUAAGUCAGACUUUGGCCCUAGCAAAUACUCUUCCCGCUGUCUCUGCUUUCGGGGAAAAAGAAGACAAAGCAGAAACAGCAGCUUCCACAAUUCCACUCCCUCUCUCCAGAACAUGAAUACAAACCAACUGCAGAAGAAAAUAGCUUGAAUUCGGUUAAAGAAACUAAGCAAAACCUCCUUACUUUCUGAGACCUGUCCUGUUCAGUCUGUGCCUGAUUGUAAGACAGAUAAAUUCCCUGAACAGUUAAAAGAGGGCCUUACUGAAAAAACAGCAGAUGGUGAGAAGCACGGCUGCAUUUUGGAGUUCAGCAAUGGAGUGAACAUUGAGCUGAGUUUCACACGGCUUGGGCUUUCCAAUGUCCAGUGAAGAGGAAAUGAUGAGCAAACAAACGAAGAUUAAAAAAAUAAUGUGCUAAUUCAUAAAUCCAAAAUCUGCUUCAUGUUUCUAUCAGGAAGAUAUUAUACAAAAAGAGUCAAUGGAGAUCAAGGAUAAGAGCAGGUAAAAAACUUAACUCCUGAAGGAAUUUUUUGUUAGAAUAGACUGGCUGACAUUGUUCUUGGCCAACGCCCUGUGGUCUUACUGAGAUAAAGACUGGGUCUGAAACUGACUCAGUGUUUAUAAAAAAUUGCUAUUGUUAAAAGAGAAAUUAAUUUCUUAAGUUACAAAAUCGUAUGUAGGUGCCGGGUUUUGUUGCAUUUAUUGCAUUUGUGAGUUGUCUCUCUGAAAUUAAUGGCAACCAAUAGGAAAAAUGAAUCACUUCUGUGAGUAACAGAUUCAUAGCCUGACUUUCAAAUUACGUGUACAGUCCACAUUCACUGUAGCAUUUUUUGAAAACAAGGAAAAGGGAAAGUUUUCUUCUUACCUCACUUGUCCAACUUUGGAUUCAACAGGUUGCUUUACUGAGAAGAAUGUAUAACCUGGCUACCAGCUAAAAACAAAAUAAAAUAGUUCCUUGUGUGGAUAGUGUUUAAACAGAGCUUAUGAGAUAAAUAUUUAUUUGGCUAUUAAGCUGUCAUUAGAAAUGUCCUUAUUUGCUAUUAAUGGACCUUGCAUGUAGAUUGCAGCGUUCACUCCCAGCCUUCACAUCUGCAGAACUGCCACUGAUGCUCAGCUUUCUGUAACACCCAGCCUCUGUAUUUUCUGUCUGUUGAGGAGCUGGGCUUUGCAUUGUGUUAGAAAACUGGUUUUGGAGCAGUUGCCUGUUGCUUCAGGGUCCACUCCAUUAGCUUCCUGUGUAAUUCUGUGAAAAUUCAUGAAAAUUAUGUAUCUUCUAUUGCUAGGUGAUAGCAGGAUAAAAGAUUUUGGGGUGUGAGUAUCUCUUUUUCCUUUUAGAUCAGUUAACUAAGGCCUUCUAAUGCAAAGUUUGUACCUCUGGAAAUCUUUCUUGGCCCUCUGAGCUGUACAUAUUGCACAAAUUAUCCAUGCAGCAAGCUCUUCUGCUAUCCACUAAGACAUGAAGGUCUGCUGUAUAGAGCAGCUCUGAUGGUCAACAACUGGGAUGGCACCAAGGACGGAAAUGGGACCACAGGUGAAAUUACAGAGCUGUCAGGGCAAGAACUGGAAAGUAUGAAUUAUCCUAGAUUGAGCAGGGUCAAUUUUCAAGUUGGAGACUGUGCGUUGGACAGAGCGGGGAGCGAAUUGCUCAGGUUCAAGAGUUGUAGCAAGAGGAAGGCAAAGGGUGAGAGGGAGUUGCAGGGUGCAAGUCUACAGCAUGAUAGCUGGAAAGAGCUUCCAUGGUGGAAGGGAGGAGUAAGGAGACUGUGAGGAGGAGUAGGGAAGAAUAACUAGGGUUAGAGGAAGUUGGAAAAGCGUGCCAGCUGGAAGAGGUUGCUGCUUUGGCCCAUUUUCCACUGUCCAGUGAGACUACAUGCUGCCUUGUGGACAGCAUCUGAGCUCUGCAGCAGUCUAGAUUUUGGAUAAGGCACAAUUUUAUGGCGACAAUCAACAUCUUUGCUAACAGGAGGUUAUUUAAGGGUGUCUAAGGGAGAGAGAGAGAAUAAAAAAAAUCUGCUCAUGGUUAGAUAAUUACAAACAAUAACCAAAAACUUACAAGGGGAAAGUUACUGUUUCUACAUCCAAUCCUACAAAGACUAGCCCUGGAGUUUCCUUGGCUGAAGGAGUAUAUAAAGAUAUUUAAGACUUUCAGAAGAGAUGUCAAGCUUACUAUAUUGUUUACAAAGCCAUUGCUUGGUCUCACGUUACUGAGUUGGAACAAUUUGUAACUGAGAUGGUUAAUUACCCCAGAAAGGAAUAUAUGUAAAAGCAGGUACAUUAGGAGCUCUCCUUAUGCUUGUUUUGAUUUGCUAACAGAAGGCAUUGAUUCUGAGUCCUUUCCUUUAAUUCACUGUGGCUGACCAACAUUUAACCACUACAGCAAAAGGAAGUUAGCACUUCUUUUCUUUCCUCUGAAAAGCUUUUAUAUUCCUUGGUAACAAUUUUUUAGUUGAUGAACGUACCUCCCAAAGGCAAUGUUUGCUGAAUUCCCCUUAGCACGAAAAGUUCAUUUCGCUACUCAUUACUGCUUCCUUUUCAGUCGCAGAAAUUGCCUAUUGCAUGUUAAAGACAAGGAACUUACUUGACUUUUACAUGUGAAGGACUCAAUCUGUUCUGCCAGAAGAUUUCUUGCAGUGACUGUUAUUCAUGCUGCCAACAAUUUAAAAUCUAUAUUUCAAGAUAGACACUCCUGGAUACUAUUAAAGGAUGAGUUUUGUACCACCAAGAUCAUAAGUGACAAAUAUGCUGUCGUGUCAGUUAUAUAAUGGUUUUUGCUCAUUUAGUUCCACACAGUUUGCUUUUAUAUAAUUUUAUAUUAAACAGAGUUUCUGUUAGGCUAUGCAGUAAUAUUGCUGAAUCCCUGUGUGAAUUUUUCAUUCUCAUGUCAAAAAUGACAGAUCUUAAAGAUGUUGGCACAGUAUUUUAUCUAAGCUUUCAUUUAAGGUUGAUAUAAAUACUGAUAUUGUACCUAUCUAUUCUUAAUGGUAGUCAAGUGUCAAUUUUCAAAUCUGUGUGUAGAAUUAGGGCAUUCGAGGCCUAACUUGAAGCAAAUAUCUCAGCAGGAGCAGACCUGUGUGCCCUUAUGGUGUCACAUCAAAUUAGUUUGCUUCCCAGAUUUUGGUGUAUGCCGUCCUCCAGCCAUGUCAUCAGUCUACUGCAAAUCAAUGCUUUCUGGGGCAGGGCCAAGCUUUUUUCCUUUUUAUUUUUUUGUACAGUGUCUAUUACAAUACCAUUUUGCUCCCAGUUGGAGCUUCAUGGCAUUUUUGCAAUAUACAUGUAAAAGUAGUAGCUAAAGUACAGAAUUCCAGUCCAGGUUCUGACUCUGAAGUUUUAGAACUUGUCUCUUCACUGUACAUAUUUGGUACUGUUAAGUUAAGUUUGUGGUAACAGGGGUGCAAUUCUCUUGACUUCCCAUCUUCCUUUUUCUUUCUGUCAACAUAUAGAUGCAAUAAAAAUCAACAGAAACUUUUUCUAGGUAAUUAAAAUGAACUUCCUUCCCAGAAAGGCUUAACUGAUGAAGCUCUAGAUAGUUUUCACUCCAGUAUUAGUUUGUACUAAAAGACAUGCUGCCUUUAAUCCAGUUUCCAUGCGCCCAUAAAAUUUUUGGGGUAUUGAAGUGCUUUAAACUGGUCCAUAAGGGAGGGAUGAAGUGCAUUCCAGCUCCUGUGUCACUGAUGCGCAGAUGGGAUACACACUACAGCAUUAGUUACCAAAACCCAUCAUCUGCUAAUCUCGUCUUCACUGAUUAUGAAACCUCUUUAUUGCUGUCAUUUUUUUUGCAGGGUGGUACUUCAAGAUAGGCAAGAGCAGGCUAAUUCAAGAGAAGUUAACACAGGCUUAGUUAAUUUACACUUAAGUCAUACCCAUAUUUCAAUAUAGAUUUUAUAUAAAUUAGAAUUAUAGAAAUAUUGCAUCUAAUCAACUCUUUCCAUAACUUUGUUUGUGUGAACAUGAAUACAAAUGUGAAACAAGCAUACAAUCUGCUGUACAUUUCAGAACCUGCUUGCUAGCCUGUCUAGGUGUCCUAUGGCCCUUCUCACUUUCCUUAAUCUUUGUAGAAGAUUCCUUUGAUUUCCUGCUUCUCUUUUGUCCAAAUAUACAGAGGUAUGCCAAGGGUCAUAUCAUCUCUAUGCUUUCACACUAGCAGACAUGUAAACAAUGGUGGUAUUUUCAAAAGCACCCUGCCCUCAGCUAGUGGAAGUUUUAGCAUUUACUUCAGUGGAAGCAGUUAGGUUGCCUUUAGGACUUAUUCUUGGCGAAGCUAUAGGUUAGCGCACCCUCAGGUCUGCAGAUAUCAUAGUUCCUGUGGUUGCUUUGUGUCUCAGCUCAGCGAAAAUGAGGCAAAUAAAUUAGCUCAAAUCAUUUAUAAAAUAAGUGUUGGUUAAUUUGGCUCAUAAAAACUGAACCAGGGUAGGGGGUAAUUAUGUAAAAAGUUCCACCAGCAAACCGGAAAGAAGAUUGAAAUGCAUUUGGGGGCUAGGUGGCUGGAAAUAGUCUGUUUACCCUAUGCUGCUUCACGUAGGACAGGACACUGAGGCAGAAGCUCUGCUUCCCGAUGAAUGAUUCUGCAACUCUUGUGUUCGAAUUAAGUGUUUCAACCAGUAUUUACUUGCAGAUAUUACAUUUCUGUGACUGGAUUUGUCACAUAACCCAGGAAUCCUUUAUAUUUCUUCUGCUCUACGUUUUUCUGAAAGUGGAAGUCCUGUGUCAUUUCUUCCCCCUUGCCUCACUUCUUAGCACUAGGCUCUACAUGUGUGUCUCAUGUCUCUUCCUGUGGGCCACCCACCAAUCUCCCUUUGUCUGAAGGAUUAAUUGUUAUUUGUGUUACUGUUCUAAAACCUGCUGGGAAGGAGAUAGAGCUGAUAUAGAGCUGAUAUAGAGCUAGCGUUAUCCUAAAGAAUAUUAAUGGGUAUCAUCCACUAUCUCUUACACGCACAGAUACUUGCAGAGGCGCUUGAAGUUGUGGAUUGCCAUAAGUUAAGAAAAUUGCAUGCCUUGUAUUUCCUUCUGUUUCAUAGUGUAAUAUUUUCUCCAGGUAUAUAGGGUUCUGUUCACUGAUGCCUAGAAAAUACUCUAAAACUUCAGUGCGUGAUUAGACGCAGUAUUCAGAAGCAAUCACCUUGCAUAGAGAUGGAGAAAUACUUCUUAAAAUGUUUAAUACAUGUAAUCUGUGGCUGCUGGUCUCAUUUUACAAUUAUCGAGUGGAUUAUCCUCACUUAUAUAGAAAUAUAAUAGCUUUAUGAAGUAUGCUGGAGUGAAAAUGAGAAAAAUCUCUUAAGGUAGUAUGGAAAAAAAUGACCUUAGAUAACAUGAUUACAGCAUGUCUUUUCACUAUGUUGAUUAAAAGUUUGAAAGGUUGUUUUGUUUCCAGCAUAGAAUUGUAGGGUGCUACUCAGAUCUGGACUCAAGAUGUGAAAUACAUGGUGGACCAGUAAAGGAUAUUUCAGAGCUAAAGAGAGUUCAGCUCUCCCACUUCCAGGGUAAAAUCUUAACUAUUAGGUCACUGUGAUGCAAAAGUGGACGAUGUACUAGCUGCAGUUGUUAUUUUGAAAAAGUGAGUUUAGUUAGAGGUCUUAUUUCAGAAAUCCUCUCAAUAUAGAGCGUGCAGAGUCUCUGAAAGAUGGGAGUAAGUCAUAUACAACCUUAUGCCUCAUAGUUCUUUUUACUUAUUCUCUGAAUGUGGCCUCUCCGGACUGCACCUCAGAAGUGCCUGACUUUGUUGAUUGUAUAGGGAGCAUAGGCCUUUGGAUGUCCUAAAUGGAGGUCCAGAUUGAUUAAGGUAUUAAGGCACCUACAUUAGGAAGUGAAAUCAAUUUGCAAAUUUAGCCUCCACUUUUCUGGUGUUGCAAGGUCUAAAGUGGCUAUUCUAAAUCUGGCCCUUUUAUUGCUAAAAAGGCCAUAAGGAAACAACAACAGCAAUUUAACAUAUUGCUUAUUCAAAAAUGUGUGCCAACAGCAGUUCUUGCAACACUAUAGUCACUCCUAAUGCAAUUCUCUAAAGAACAAUUGAGUUUAUUUUUAUCAUCAUUUUGGCUUAAUCUUUUGCAUAAUUUGAAACAUCAAAUUUCUUCUGCUAGUAUUUUAUUAUUUGUGCUGACUAGAAUAGAAAACCUAAUGAUUCGUAGCAAUUCAGAUUUGUGGAGUAAUGUUUACUCUUCUAUAGUUAAGACUAAGGUUAGCUCCUCUCCUGAAGGGCUUUAAAUAUGUCCUUUCCUAGAGGCAGAGCUAAGAGGAAGUUUGUUAACUUCAGUAUUUGAGAAGGUUUUGAAAUGUUAUGAUUUGUUUGUGCCUUCUUGCUCUGCUCUUUCUCCUUAUUAGCAAGGAGUAAACUGAAGGAAGGUUUAUGGUCUUCUAAGUACUUUCCAUUGGCAUGUGUUUAGUGCUAUCAAGGAAUGGUCCUGAACAUUAAAACAAAUAAUUGAGCCAGCAUAAAUCAUUAAAUGGAAAUAAAAGGCUAUUACUGGCCUCUGUGCCCUUACAUCUUUUGUUUAUUAUCAUCAGUAUUUCAAAAGUGUCCUGUUCUUUUGAUAUUUGGGCACUGGUAUGUACAUUUAGAAAUAUAUCAGCUUGCAAAAGGCAUAAGAAUAACACUUUCCUCUAGUUCUUGAAUAUUUUACUAAGCCAUGAUUACACAGAUAUUUGGCUUAGAAGCUGCCUAUAAUAGUUCAACAUGAUGAGUACAGAGUAGGAGAACUGAUUUAAACACACUGCACCAAUCUGUAAUAAAUAGUUUCAGCAAAAGAGUUAAAUUGUGUAACAAACUUUUGGGCAAAGCCAGGUACUUUGUUUGAAUCACGUGCUUCACAGGCCAGACGCUUUUUUUUGUUUUUGUUUUGUCACUGGUACUAAAUAUGACUACAGUUCUUUUAGUGCCUUCUUUCAAGAGAGAGAGACUUGUUUUCUGUUACUGAUGAUGUUCAAAUAAAGUAGUCACUUUCCA